GAUGAAGAACGUAGCGAAAUGCGAUAAGUAAUGUGAAUUGCAGAAUUCAGUGAAUCAUCGAAUCUUUGAAUGCAUCUUGCGCUCCUUGGUAUUCUGAGGAGCAUGCCUGUUUGAGUGUCAUUAAAUUCUCAACUACACUGACUUUGAAUUGGUGUGGCUUGGAUUUGGGGGGAAAAUUGUUGUGGGCUUUUUGUAUAGUCUGCUCCCCUGAAAUUGAUUAGCGGUACCUUUGUGGAACUGUCUACAGGUGUGAUAAUUAUCUACAUCUUAGACAUCUGCUGGAAUGCUGCUUUCUAAACCUUACUUGUAUUGACAAUCUUGACCUCAAAUCAGGUAGGACUACCCGCUGAACUUAAGCAUAUCAAUAAGCGGAGGA
rnacentral:misc_RNA from 1 species